AUUGAACGCUGGCGGAAUGCUUUACACAUGCAAGCCGAACGGCAGCACGGGGGCAACCCUGGUGGCGAGUGGCGAACGGGUGAGUAAUACAUCGGAACGUGCCCAGUCGUGGGGGAUAACGUAGCGAAAGUUACGCUAAUACCGCAUACGAUCUACGGAUGAAAGCGGGGGACCGUAAGGCCUCGCGCGAUUGGACCGGCCGAUGUCAGAUUAGGUAGUUGGUGAGGUAAAGGCUCACCAAGCCGACGAUCUGUAGCUGGUCUGAGAGGACGACCAGCCACACUGGGACUGAGACACGGCCCAGACUCCUACGGGAGGCAGCAGUGGGGAAUUUUGGACAAUGGGCGCAAGCCUGAUCCAGCCAUUCCGCGUGCAGGACGAAGGCCUUCGGGUUGUAAACUGCUUUUGUACGGAACGAAAAGGCUCUGGUUAAUACCUGGGGCUCAUGACGGUACCGUAAGAAUAAGCACCGGCUAACUACGUGCCAGCCGCCGCAGUAA
rnacentral:rRNA from 1 species